CUUCCACAAUGGACGAAAGUCUGAUGGAGCAACGCCGCGUGAAUGAAGAAGGCCUUCGGGUCGUAAAAUUCUGUUGUCAGAGAAGAACGUGCGUGAGAGUAACUGUUCACGUAUUGACGGUAUCUGACCAGAAAGCCACGGCUAACUACGUGCCAGCAGCCGCGGUAAUACGUAGGUGGCAAGCGUUGUCCGGAUUUAUUGGGCGUAAAGGGAACGCAGGCGGUCUUUUAAGUCUGAUGUGAAAGCCUUCGGCUUAACCGAAGUAGUGCAUUGGAAACUGGAAGACUUGAGUGCAGAAGAGGAGAGUGGAACUCCAUGUGUAGCGGUGAAAUGCGUAGAUAUAUGGAAGAACACCAGUGGCGAAAGCGGCUCUCUGGUCUGUAACUGACGCUGAGGCUCGAAAGCGUGGGUAGCAAACAGGAUUAGAUACCCUGGUAGUCCACGCCGUAAACGAUGAGUGCUAAGUGUUGGAGGGUUUCCGCCCUUCAGUGCUGCAGCUAACGCAUUAAGCACUCCGCCUGGGGAGUACGGUCGCAAGACUGAAACUCAAAGGAAUUGACGGGGGCCCGCACAAGCGGUGGAGCAUGUGGUUUAAUUCGAAGCAACGCGAAGAACCUUACCAGGUCUUGACAUCUUCUGACAAUUCCAGAGAUGGAACGUUCCCUUCGGGGACAGAAUGACAGGUGGUGCAUGGUUGUCGUCAGCUCGUGUCGUGAGAUGUUGGGUUAAGUCCCGCAACGAGCGCAACCCCUGUCGUUAGUUGCCAGCAUUCAGUUGGGGACUCUAACGAGACUGCCAGUGACAAACUGGAGGAAGGUGGGGAUGACGUCAAAUCAUCAUGCCCCUUAUGACCUGGGCUACACACGUGCUACAAUGGACGGUACAACGAGUCGCUAACUCGCGAGGGCAAGCUAAUCUCUUAAAGCCGUUCUCAGUUCGGAUUGCAGGCUGCAACUCGCCUGCAUGAAGUCGGAAUCGCUAGUAAUCGCGAAUCAGCAUGUCGCGGUGAAUACGUUCCCGGGUCUUGUACACACCGCCCGUCACACCACGAGAGUUUACAACACCCGAAGUCAGUGGCCUAACCGCAAGGAGGGAGCUGCCUAAGGUGGGGUAGAUGAUUGGGGUGAAGUCGUAACAAGGUAUCCCUACCGGAAG
rnacentral:rRNA from 1 species